rnacentral:lncRNA from 1 species
AGAACAUUUCAAGUUCACAGAUGCAGAGAAAUAGACACAGAUGUAGACAUGAAAGCAUACUGCACAACACCAAGCCCAACUCCACCAUGGUCCCCCUUACAACAAAUGCCACCCUUUUACAAGAAUAACAGAGAGGCAGAGUGAGCAAAAUUGAGAAGCAGAACUCUUUCUCCUGGGAACUCUUCUGUGCUUCUUCUUUCUUUUGUUAUUGGUACUUUCCUGCCAUCAGAUACCAAGGUCCAACUUGCUUCCCUGGGCCACAUAACAGAAUGUGAAGGUAGGAGCUGGAAGUAAAAGAGUGAGUUAUGUGGGACAAUAUUAUGGCUCUAUUUUACCCACAGAUUCGGGGCUGUUUUAUCUGUGACUUGUGUCACAUAUAACUACGUUGGCCUACGUGGGGAUUCUUACCAUCCAGAACAGGUGUGGGAUGAUGGCUUGGUCUCUCACGGCAGCACCCUUGAGGAUCCUCACUGCCUGUGCCGCACCAGUAGUAUCAUUAGAGUCAGACAGAAAGGAAAUGGAAAGAAGGAGAUUUUACUCCUCUGUAGCUAUUGUUGCUCUUGGCAGGGUGCUACCAGGAGGCCUAGAUAUGUACCACUUAAAGCUUAAAUACUACAGCUCAUUCUACCAGAGAGCCCUUUCAACACAAAAGCUGAAGUCAACUAUGCUCCUUUAUGAGGUGACUCAUCUCAAAUGAUAAAUACAGUGUGCCUCCCCCACACAAGAACAGAUGUGGCAGAUAUGCCCCCUAUAGAGAAUGCUUUGCAAAAGCUUUGGGACUGCAGAGAUUUUGUUCCGAAAAUAAUGUAGUCACAGCAUUUGGGACGUUGGGGAGGGGAGGGCAUAUCAUGCCAAGUAAGUGAUGUGAGGCUCAGCUGAAGGAAAAGUGUCCACCCAGUGUUGAGCCAGCAAAGACUGCAAGGGGUUGUUAACACAAUCUGGAAACUCCUCCCCUGGAGAUCCUUAAGACCCAUCCACCCAAGGUGGCUUCUCUCAAGCCUGCCAACAAUCCACAGCAUGCACUGGGUGAUUUUUGAGGCUAUUUUCCUCCAUCAGAUGAAAGGAGAUGCGUGUAACAUACCCACAAACAAUACUUUUGCCCACUUGGUUCCAUCAAAUCUUACAAAAUCUCUAGAAUAUGAGCAAAAGAAAAAGUGCUGUUAUCACUGCCGUGGAAUUAUGUAGUAUGAGUUGAGCAGACUGUUAAGCACGCUGAAGUUUUCCAGAAAAGUCUACAUGACACUGAAGAAGUAAUAAGAUGGGUGUUUCUUUUUUGCACGCUAUGAUAUAACUGCCAAAUAAAUCAGAGAUGACAAUAAUUUACACUCAUUCAUUAAUCUCUCCUCCUUUUUCUCCUUUCAAGGACCGUGUUCCUUCAUGAGGCUGUCCCAAGCAAUACGACAUUUUCUUGUCCUUCACUGAAUAUUGUGCAUCAGCUGGAUUCCUUUUCAAAGGGAUAAAUUAAACAAUGCCAGAUAUUGAGUUAUCUGAAUAUUCAGAAAACUAAUGCCUCCUCAAU